AAUGUUCUCACUGUGUGGUCCGAAAUGUCCAUGAGAGAUUGGCUAUUAUCAAAACAUAUUUGAUAGGAACUUUGUUCCAAUUAAUGCAAAAUGUUUCAGCUGACACAUGAAUUGUCAUCUCUUACAGUGACUGCUUGUUAAUGAUCACAAAUGACUGUCCACUCUCUUGGAAGCAGACUCAUCUGUCUCUCUCUUAUGUAAGUGUGCAGCAGAGAGGCUGGGCUAGAGCAGUGCAGUAACGUUCCAAGUGGGUAACCAAAGUUAGAGGGAGCUGCUCAGCUGUGCAUUUCUUUUGGAGGAGGAUAGAUUCUGGAGCCAAACUUUAGUCCCCUCAUUUGAAAAUUUUGCCCUGCAUCUUCCUCUUCACUUUAGUUUCACCCUCAAAAUCUGGAAUCUGGAAAGACAUGGACUCUUCAUAGGUCGUGUGCAUCUUGAGCAAGCGUGCACAGCCACGUCAGACACCAAGACCUUGUCACAGGGGUAGGCACUGGACAAAGGAAGAAAGUUUUAAAGCCAUCAAGAGAUACAGUGUUAUAUUUUUAAUACUAAUUUCAAAACUCGGGUUGAAGUAUUUACCUCUGAAAAAGUGUUCUCUCCAGUUGUCGGACAAAAUGCUGGAAUUACAAGAUGAAAUUGUAUAGCCCACAUUUUAUAGGAGAUAGUGCAUAAUAUGCUCAUUUAGCCUUGAAAUCUGUUAAAUUGAUUAACUAUGUUAAACAAUAGUUUUAAAUCACUUUUCGCUCUUCUUUCAUCCAUGAGCACUGUCAAGGAAGAGCUUGGCAUUGAAAUAGCCAUUAUUUAAAUGGUGCCCUCAAGCACAGGAAGAUAUAUGAGAUGCAAAAGAUGUGUGACUCCAAAAGAACUUACCAACUUUGGACUGCUUUAUAAUUUCUUCAGUUUUUAAUGUGUGUAGCUGAAUGCAAAACUCAUCUUAUUCUCUGGGUAUGCCAAAUCAAUCAAGUGAAUGCUAAUGUCCUGCUAGCUCCAGCAAUUCAGCUGGAAUUGAACUAGCAAGAGACAAUGCCCAGAGCUGAGCUGACAUAAUUGUGAAUGGCUCCGAUGCACAAAUACAACAGAAAGAGAAUAGGAACUAGACAUUUUAAUGUCAACUCUCUUAGAAGCACAGGAAAAAAAAAAAUCAUCAUUGCUCAGAUAGAAACAGGAAAAAAAAAGCAGAGAGAGAGAAAUCUUAUUUUUCAAGCUCCCGAAGGAAAAAAAAGUGGAGAUCAAAAUAGAAUUCUAUCAGAAAGAAUGGGUUCUUAAUAGUCCUUUAAACUAAAAUGCAUGAAACAGUGAUGAAGUGAUUUUUGCUGCAUCUUUAAGGAGCUUGCUUUUGUCAGUCUGAGGUUAUUUGUAAAAGGGCCUCUGCAGAAAAUUAUGGUCUCAAAUUAUGUUUUUUCAGGCUCAGAUUGCAUAGGUAAGAAGCACCAUUGCGAGCAGCAGUGACAAAGAUGGCCCCGUGGCACACAGAGAAGCCAGAAGGGGAACGCUGCUCUUCAGGCGCUGCCUUGAUGUGAUUUACGGACAGUUUGUGGAGCCUAAGCACAGGACUAGGUUUGUGGCUUGGUUUACAGGAGUUCUGCUCCAGUGUCUUAGAAAAUCUUCUUUAGGCAUUGCCUCAGUUUGGUUACCUGCAACCUGGAGAUACACAAAAGCUUCUGGCAUGGUAUUUAUUGUAAAAGGGGUUAUGGUGAGUAAAUAGUUAUUGUUACUAGAUGGGAGGAUCUGUGAAGUUCUGUUGAUGUUAGCCCAAUAAGGGAAGAGGAGGAAGAGAAAGGAUGGAAAUAGCAGAGCAUUUGACAGGCCUGAAUGUCAGUAGCUUCCAUGAGAUGCUUUCUUGUACCAAAUGUUGGCAUCCCUUUAUUUCGUCAAGGAAAUUGAGGUUUUAAAGUAUCAGAUUCUCCAAGCAGACAUUUGCUUUCCUAUACUGAUGUUGAAACAGGAAGCUCCGGAGCUGUAUGUGCAGAAGCUGUGAUUUAGCAGAGGGGAGAUGUACCACGAACGUUGUAUGUCUCGUCCUGGGGUGGGCGAAGAACCGUUUCAUCUUUACCUGGUAGCUGAGGACCCAUGAAAGAGAGAGCUUGUUCUGUGUAGGAGGGGAUGCUGUCACUCUGGCACCGCGAUCAGAUGUAGAAGCUUUAUGCUUUCUGGUGAAGCAGGGAUGUAAGCAGUGCUAAUAGCGCAUGCAUGUGAGCAGGGAGCAGCAUACACUGCAGGCAAAAGAGGACAGCGCAUAGGGUCUGAGAUAUUGCUGCAUUUGAGAUCAACGUGUCAGAUUUUAGCCUCUUUCUCUUUCAAAGAGGUGUUGACAGUGUUGUAUUGUCUCGCAGGGCCUCAGCUUGGCCAGUCCUAGCGUGCUGUCUGGUUUCUUUCAGUUUAGUUUGUAAAUAGCAGGCUGUAUUUAGACUCCUGACUUGCACAGCCUUCUGUUACUGCAGCUACAGUGCUGCAGCCUUUAGCAGAGUCACUGCUGUCAACAACUAAGCCACAGCACUCCUGCGCUCUGCCUUUUAUUGGCCUUUAUGGAUCCCUUUAACAGAUACAAAAAUGCAAAGGUGCCACCGCUCCUUAGCACCACGGUAGUAUCUUCUACAGUGUGCCAGAGGCGUAAUCCUAUGGGAAGGUGCACCAGGAGAAGGGCACCUGGGGGAUCCCUGACCCUGCAACGCUCAGCGCUGCUCCUGGCUCCCUGCAGCGCUGGCAUCGAGGAUGGCAGUGGUGCAAAGUGAAUAUUUGCUCUGUUCACACCAGCUGCACCUCCUAUCAGUCCUUUGAUGGCAGGGAACAAGCCAUUGUCACUGUGGCUUGGGGCAGCAGGUACAGAUAAGAUGUCACAAUUCCUGAUUCCCAAGGGAACGAGGUCUCAGGUGGUAAAUACAGUGGGGUCUGUUGAGGGGCAAGGGAGGGGAUGCUACGUGCUGCAGAGUCUUCUCUGUUCCCCCCUCAUUUCUAUAGAAAGCUUCCAUGUACUUCAUACUCUCUAUGUGGGACUUUUUUUUUUUUAAUAUGUGCAAUAUCUAACGUGCUCAUAAUUCUGAGAGUACACUCAUAGUUUCAAAUGUUAAUAUGCUGAUACAUGGAUAACGGUGCCCUAGUUCCCACUCAUAUCUAAACGUCUACCUUCAGGUAAGAAUAAGGCAGUAGCUGAUUGUUACAACUUCUUUCAUCUGUGCUUAAUUUUGCUAGCUCAUUAUUCUGAGGAAUUUUUCUUGAGAAAAAAAUUACACGCUUAGGUCAGUUAUAUCAGUACAAGAGGCUGUGAAGCUGCUAUGAAGGAAUAGAAAAAUCUCUUUAGGAGCGCGAAUUGUCAGUGAUGUACAGUAUCUAUUCACACUCUAAAAGAUUGAAUUAAAAGUGAUAAUUAUGUGCUGUUUUUGCUGCUUAAGUGGUUUAAUGCCAUUAUGACUGUGCUACUUAAUGGAAAAGCUUAGAAUCAGACUAGCAUGGGAAUACUAAAAAUUUUAAUGGAUUUUUGCUCAAGUCAUUCUUCCUAUUAGGAAACAAACCCACCAAAAUAUAUAACUAGGUCUUUGGAUUCAAUUAUUAAUCCUCUCUCCUAAUUUGAAGAGCAAAAUUAUCACUUAACAGCAGUUCUCUGAAAUAGAAUUUUAAUGAUACUAGUCAUCUCAUAGUUGAACAUGAUUUUUCCCGAUCAGAACAAAGUUAGAUGAUUCUCAGUGCUGAAUCAGUUUUAAUUAUUAAUCCUAAGCAGUUAAAAUAUAUACUGUCAACAGCAUGUCUUGAACAUCUGUCAAAGAAGCUGUCAGAAAUGUUUUCAAUGGCUUCUCGUGUGUUAGCUGGCUUCUCUGCAUGAGGUGAAGGCUUUGGAACAUGGUAAUUGGAAUGGGAUUGUAGAAAUAAUGUAUAGGAAGAGAACUACGCCAUACACUUGGAAGGAUUCUUAUGGGCUGAUCCUGACAUUUUAUAGUUCUAAAACAAAUCUGAUGGGCUUCAUCAUAAUGUGAUCCUGUCUCCCCAAGGAAAUUUGCAGUAGUUUAGGUGAAGUGCUUGUUUUGACCAUGAAAUGAGAAGAGAAAGCAGGCAGAAAACUGAACAGUUAUGGGUCAUCCUUUUAUAGGUUGGUGCUAAAGCAAAUGGAUUGAGGUAUUGAGGUGGUGUAACUUGUGCUACUUGAAUGUGGAUGGAGAUAUUCGUGGCUUAUAGGGAUGUGCUAUUGGUUACAACUGCUAUUGCAAAUUCAAAAUCAGAAAUAAUCCCUUGUAGAAGUUCUGCAAAACUUCUCUAGGAGGAAUACAGAUAAAGGUGGGAAGACCCAGUUCAAAAACCCCUUCUCUUUUCAUGAUUAGCCACAUGUUUCCAGUUGUUCAUGCAUCUGAUUAUUCCCUGGGUUUUUUUAACAUCCCCUCUGAAGACUAUAUAAACUCAGGGGGGAAUUUUCCUCUGUGGUGUUAACUACCAAAGCUGCUUUGUUUCCAGUGUCUCAUGGCAACUAUUUGUGCUUUUUGAUUCGUAGCCUAGAAAACUAAAUUAGCAAUUAUUCUACAGAAUGCAUGUUAUUUGGGGCAACACUAAUUUGCCAGGAGCAACUUCUUGACACAUCUGAAAAUCACGUCACCUCUUUAGGCCAGCAAAAUGUCAGUCCUUUCUCGCUGCUACUGUUCCGGUGUUUUAUACAACAUGAAUCAAGUUGAUACUGACCAAGAGGCUUCUUUGGCCUGUUAGCAGUAGUAAACUUCUGGGCAUUCGUGACAGAAUACCCAGUGUUACAGCUUGCUGAUCUGUUUAGAUUAUUGCAUAUUUUUCCUUUUCCAUGUAUCUGUAUUUUGUUUUGCCUCUUUCCAGGCUUUAAUGACAAAUAAAAAGGCGUAACAGACUCAUA